rnacentral:rRNA from 1 species
CCUACGGGAGGCAGCAGUGAGGAAUAUUGGUCAAUGGGCGAGAGCCUGAACCAGCCAAGUCGCGUGAGGGAAGACGGUCCUAUGGAUUGUAAACCUCUUUUGCCGGGGAGCAAAAAGCGGUACGUGUACCGCAUCGAGAGUACCCGGAGAAAAAGCAUCGGCUAACUCCGUGCCAGCAGCCGCGGUAAUACGGAGGAUGCGAGCGUUAUCCGGAUUUAUUGGGUUAAAAGGGUGCGCAGGCGGCGAGUUAAGUCAGCGGUAAAAUUUCGGGGCUCAACCCCGACAAGCCGUUGAAACUGGCGUGCUAGAGUGGGCGAGAAGUAUGCGGAAUGCGUGGUGUAGCGGUGAAAUGCAUAGAUAUCACGCAGAACUCCGAUUGCGAAGGCAGCAUACCGGCGCCCAACUGACGCUCAGGCACGAAAGCGUGGGUAUCGAACAGGAUUAGAUACCCCUGUAGUC